rnacentral:piRNA from 1 species
UGAACUUCCCAUCCUUCUGCCUCUACCUC